CCUACGGGUGGCUGCAGUGGGGAAUAUUGCACAAUGGGCGCAAGCCUGAUGCAGCCAUGCCGCGUGUGUGAAGAAGGCCUUCGGGUUGUAAAGCACUUUCAGCGGGGAGGAAGGCGUUAAGGUUAAUAACCUUGGCGAUUGACGUUACCCGCAGAAGAAGCACCGGCUAACUCCGUGCCAGCAGCCGCGGUAAUACGGAGGGUGCAAGCGUUAAUCGGAAUUACUGGGCGUAAAGCGCACGCAGGCGGUCUGUCAAGUCGGAUGUGAAAUCCCCGGGCUCAACCUGGGAACUGCAUUCGAAACUGGCAGGCUAGAGUCUUGUAGGGGGGGGUAGAAUUCCAGGUGUAGCGGUGAAAUGCGUAGAGAUCUGGAGGAAUACCGGUGGCGAAGGCGGCCCCCUGGACAAAGACUGACGCUCAGGUGCGAAAGCGUGGGGAGCAAACAGGAUUAGAUACCCCUGUAGUC
rnacentral:rRNA from 1 species